GUGCACCAGUCGCGAAACCUCCGCAAUGCGGGAAACCGUGACGGGGUCACCCCGAGUGCCACCCGAUGAGGGUGGCUUUUCCCCGGUCUAAAAAGCCGGGGGCAAUAAGCGGGGGGCAAGUCUGGUGUCAGCCGCCGCGGUAAUACCAGCCCCGCGAGUGGUCGGGACGUUUAUUGGGCCUAAAGCGUCCGUAGCCGGCUCGGUAAGUCCCUCCUUAAAUCCACGGGCUCAACCCGUGGGCUGGGAGGGAUACUGCCGGGCUAGGGGGCGGGAGAGGCCGAGGGUACUCCCGGGGUAGGGGCGAAAUCCGUUAAUCCCGGGAGGACCACCAGUGGCGAAGGCGCUCGGCUGGAACGCGCCCGACGGUGAGGGACGAAAGCUGGGGGAGCAAAGGGGAUUAGAUACCCGGGUAGU
rnacentral:rRNA from 1 species